GCCCUCGUAGCUCAUUGGAUAGAGCAGGGUUUUGGCGAAAUCCCAGGUAGAAGGUUCGAUCCCUUCCGAGGGCU
rnacentral:tRNA from 1 species